GAUGAACGCUGGCGGCGUGCCUAAUACAUGCCAGUCGAGCGAACAGACGAGGAGCUUGCUCCUCUGACGUUAGCGGCGGACGGGUGAGUAACACGUGGAUAACCUACCUAUAAGACUGGGAUAACUUCGGGAAACCGGAGCUAAUACCGGAUAAUAUAUUGAACCGCAUGGUUCAAUAGUGAAAGACGGUUUUGCUGUCACUUAUAGAUGGAUCCGCGCCGCAUUAGCUAGUUGGUAAGGUAACGGCUUACCAAGGCAACGAUGCGUAGCCGACCUGAGAGAGUGAUCGGCCACACUGGAACUGAGACACGGUCCAGACUCCUACGGGAGGCAGCAGUAGGGAAUCUUCCGCAAUGGGCGAAAGCCUGACGGAGCAACGCCGCGUGAGUGAUGAAGGUCUUCGGAUCGUAAAACUCUGUUAUUAGGGAAGAACAAAUGUGUAAGUAACUAUGCACGUCUUGACGGUACCGAAUCAGAAAGCCACGGCUAACUACGUG
rnacentral:rRNA from 1 species